UACGUAGGGACCAAGCGUUGUUCGGAUUUACUGGGCGUAAAGGGCGCGUAGGCGGCGCGGUAAGUCACUUGUGAAAUCUCUGAGCUUAACUCAGAACGGCCAAGUGAUACUGCAGUGCUAGAGUAUGGAAGGGGCAAUCGGAAUUCUUGGUGUAGCGGUGAAAUGCGUAGAUAUCAAGAGGAACACCUGAGGUGAAGACGGGUUGCUGGGCCAACACUGACGCUGAGGCGCGAAAGCCAGGGGAGCAAACGGG
rnacentral:rRNA from 1 species